rnacentral:rRNA from 1 species
UACGUAGGCAGCAAGCGUUGUUCGGAGUUACUGGGCGUAAAGGGUGCGUAGGCGGCUUUUUAAGUUUGGUGUGAAAUCUCCCGGCUCAACUGGGAGGGUGCGCCGAAUACUGAGAGGCUAGAGUGUGGGAGAGGAAAGUGGAAUUCCUGGUGUAGCGGUGAAAUGCGUAGAUAUCAGGAGGAACACCGGUGGUGUAAACGGCUUUCUGGACCAUAAACUGACGCUGAGGCACGAAAGCGUGGGUAGCAAACAGG